rnacentral:rRNA from 1 species
UACAGAGGGUGCGAGCGUUAAUCGGAAUUACUGGGCGUAAAGCGCACGUAGGUGGCGACGUAAGUCGGGUGUGAAAGCCCCGGGCUCAACCUGGGAAUUGCAUUCGAGACUGCAUUGCUGGAGUACGGAAGAGGAAGGCGGAAUUCCCGGUGUAGCGGUGAAAUGCGUAGAUAUCGGGAGGAACAUCAGUGGUGAAGGCGGCCUUCUGGUCCAGUACUGACACUCAAGUGCGAAAGCGUGGGGGAGCAAACACGG